UACGGGGGGAGCAAGCGUUGUUCGGAUUUACUGGGCGUAAAGGGCGCGUAGGCGGUCAGCACAAGUCAGUUGUGAAAUCUCCGGGCUUAACUCGGAAAGGUCAACUGAUACUGUGCGACUAGAGUGCAGAAGGGGCAACUGGAAUUCUCGGUGUAGCGGUGAAAUGCGUAGAUAUCGAGAGGAACACCAGUGGCGAAGGCGGCAUCCUGGCCCUGUCCUGACGCUCAGGGGCGAAAGCGUGGGGAGCAAACGGG
rnacentral:rRNA from 1 species